GAUGAACGCUAGCUACAGGCUUAACACAUGCAAGUCGAGGGGCAGCAUGGUCUUAGCUUGCUAAGACUGAUGGCGACCGGCGCACGGGUGAGUAACACGUAUCCAACCUGCCGUCUACUCUUGGACAGCCUUCUGAAAGGAAGAUUAAUACAAGAUGGCAUCAUGAGUCCGCAUGUUCACAUGAUUAAAGGUAUUCCGGUAGACGAUGGGGAUGCGUUCCAUUAGAUAGUAGGCGGGGUAACGGCCCACCUAGUCUUCGAUGGAUAGGGGUUCUGAAAGGAAGGUCCCCCACAUUGGAACUGAGACACGGUCCAAACUCCUACGGGAGGCAGCAGUGAGGAAUAUUGGUCAAUGGGCGAGAGCCUGAACCAGCCAAGUAGCGUGAAGGAUGACUGCCCUAUGGGUUGUAAACUUCUUUUAUAAAGGAAUAAAGUCGGGUAUGCAUACCCGUUUGCAUGUACUUUAUGAAUAAGGAUCGGCUAACUCCGUGCCAGCAGCCGCGGUAAUACGGAGGAUCCGAGCGUUAUCCGGAUUUAUUGGGUUUAAAGGGAGCGUAGAUGGAUGUUUAAGUCAGUUGUGAAAGUUUGCGGCUCAACCGUAAAAUUGCAGUUGAUACUGGAUAUCUUGAGUGCAGUUGAGGCAGGCGGAAUUCGUGGUGUAGCGGUGAAAUGCUUAGAUAUCACGAAGAACUCCGAUUGCGAAGGCAGCCUGCUAAGCUGCAACUGACAUUGAGGCUCGAAAGUGUGGGUAUCAAACAGG
rnacentral:rRNA from 1 species